rnacentral:sRNA from 1 species
AUGUUAUAUAAAAUGUACUUCCUUACAGUCAUGUAAAUAAUGGAGGCUGCUUUUUAGAAAGAUUCUGUGUUCCUGGAUAAUGAUUUUUGCAUUUCUUUCUUCUUCUGAAACUGGCAUUAGGUUAUGGUUUUUUUAUCUUCUGAUUCAUACAUCACUAGCUAGUUUGGCAGUAAGCCUUUCCGAUACUUUUUACUAGUGCUAAACAGAUUAACUUAUUAGAGAAAUAUCUUUUGUCUCUCAGUAUGAGAACAACAUUUAAAAUCUAAAGGGAAAAGUAGGAUGGGCAGGAUGAAGGGUAAAUGAAGAUCGAAUAAAGGCUCUAUGCUUUAAUGGAUCUGCAACCUUUAGGUAUGUUUUAACUUUAUAGUUCUUUGCCUGCAAUGUUUAUAGUCAAGGAAUAGAUUAUUCCAGCCAGAAGACAGGAUACUUAAGUCCAAAAAAAGAGCAAUAAAUUUGUUUUUGAAGCACUUAGUUGUCUUACAGAUCACCAUGUGGGAUUUGGCCAGUGGAAAACUUCUAAGAUCAAUAACAGAUGCUCAUCCUCCAGGAACAGCAAUAUUGCAUAUCAAGUUUACAGAUGAUCCAACUCUUGCAAUUUGCAACGACAGCGGAGGCUCUGUUUUUGAAUUGACAUUUAAGAGAGUGAUGGGAGUGAGAACCUGUGAAUC